rnacentral:rRNA from 1 species
GAUGAACGCUAGCUACAGGCUUAACACAUGCAAGUCGAGGGGCAGCAUGACGGAAGCUUGCUUUCGUUGAUGGCGACCGGCGCACGGGUGAGUAACGCGUAUCCAACCUGCCCUUGUCCAUCGGAUAACCCGUCGAAAGGCGGACUAACACGAUAUGCAGUUCUCAGCAGGCAUCUAACGAGAACGAAAUGUGAAGGAGAAGGAUGGGGAUGCGUCUGAUUAGCUUGUUGGCGGGGUAACGGCCCACCAAGGCGACGAUCAGUAGGGGUUCUGAGAGGAAGGUCCCCCACAUUGGAACUGAGACACGGUCCAAACUCCUACGGGAGGCAGCAGUGAGGAAUAUUGGUCAAUGGGCGAGAGCUUGAACCAGCCAAGUAGCGUGCAGGAUGACGGCCCUAUGGGUUGUAAACUGCUUUUAUACGGGGAUAAAGUGUGGGACGUGUCCCAUAUUGUAGGUACCGCAUGAAUAAGGACCGGCUAAUUCCGGUGCCAGCAGCCG